AUUGAACGCUGGCGGCAGGCCUAACACAUGCAAGUCGAACGAGUGGCGGACGGGUGAGUAAUGUCUGGGACACCGUCUGAUGGAGGGGGAACACCACUGGAAACUGUCGCUUAUCCCGCAUAACAUCAGAUGUGCCCAGAUGGGAUUAGCUAGUUGGGGGGGUAACGGCUCAUCAAGGCGACGAUCCCUAGCUGGUCUGAGAGGAUGACCAGCCACACUGGAACUGAGACACGGUCCAGACUCCUACGGGAGGCAGCAGUGGGGAAUAUUGCACAAUGGGCGCAAGCCUGAUGCAGCCAUGCCGCGUGUAUGAAGAAGGCCUUCGGGUUGUAAAGUACUUUCAGCGGGGAGGCGUUACCCGCAGAAGAAGCACCGGCUAACUCCGUGCCAGCAGCCGCGGUAAUAC
rnacentral:rRNA from 1 species